rnacentral:rRNA from 1 species
GACGUAGGGGGCAAGCGUUGUCCGGAAUUAUUGGGCGUAAAGGGUGCGUAGGCGGUUUGGUAAGUCUGAUGUGAAAUCUAUGGGCUCAACUCAUAGUCUGCAUCGGAAACUGCCGGGCUUGAGUAUGGGAGAGGUGAGUGGAAUUCCUGGUGUAGCGGUGAAAUGCGUAGAUAUCAGGAGGAACACCUGUGGCGAAAGCGGCUCACUGGACCAUAACUGACGCUGAUGCACGAAAGCUAGGGGAGCAAACAGG